GGGAGUAAAGUUAAUACCUUUGCUCAUUGACGUUACCCGCAGAAGAAGCACCGGCUAACUCCGUGCCAGCAGCCGCGGUAAUACGGAGGGUGCAAGCGUUAAUCGGAAUUACUGGGCGUAAAGCGCACGCAGGCGGUUUGUUAAGUCAGAUGUGAAAUCCCCGGGCUCAACCUGGGAACUGCAUCUGAUACUGGCAAGCUUGAGUCUCGUAGAGGGGGGUAGAAUUCCAGGUGUAGCGGUGAAAUGCGUAGAGAUCUGGAGGAAUACCGGUGGCGAAGGCGGCCCCCUGGACGAAGACUGACGCUCAGGUGCGAAAGCGUGGGGAGCAAACAGGAUUAG
rnacentral:rRNA from 1 species